GAUGAACGCUGGCGGCGUGCCUAAUACAUGCAAGUCGAGCGAACAGACGAGGAGCUUGCUCCUCUGACGUUAGCGGCGGACGGGUGAGUAACACGUGGAUAACCUACCUAUAAGACUGGGAUAACUUCGGGAAACCGGAGCUAAUACCGGAUAAUAUAUUGAACCGCAUGGUUCAAUAGUGAAAGACGGUUUUGCUGUCACUUAUAGAUGGAUCCGCGCCGCAUUAGCUAGUUGGUAAGGUAACGGCUUACCAAGGCAACGAUGCAUAGCCGACCUGAGAGGGUGAUCGGCCACACUGGAACUGAGACACGGUCCAGACUCCUACGGGAGGCAGCAGUAGGGAAUCUUCCGCAAUGGGCGAAAGCCUGACGGAGCAACGCCGCGUGAGUGAUGAAGGUCUUCGGAUCGUAAAACUCUGUUAUUAGGGAAGAACAUAUGUGUAAGUAACUAUGCACAUCUUGACGGUACCUAAUCAGAAAGCCACGGCUAACUACGUG
rnacentral:rRNA from 1 species